GAUGAAGAACGUAGCGAAAUGCGAUAAGUAAUGUGAAUUGCAGAAUUCAGUGAAUCAUCGAAUCUUUGAAUGCACAUUGCGCCCGCCAGUAUUCUGGCGGGCAUGCCUGUUCGAGCGUCAUUUCAACCAUCAAGCCCCAGGCUUGUGUUGGGGACCUGCGGCUGCCGCAGGCCCUGAAAACCAGUGGCGGGCUCGCUGUCACACCGGGCGUAGUAGAUUUUAUCUCGCUCAGGGCGUGCUGCGGGUUCCGGCCGUUAAAAAGCCUUUUUUACCCAAGGUUGACCUCGGAUCAGGUAGGAAGACCCGCUGAACUUAAGCAUAUCAAUAAGCGGAGGA
rnacentral:misc_RNA from 1 species